rnacentral:lncRNA from 1 species
UAAGGAUUAAUUUGCUUCAUCAUGCACAGCAGGCUCAGAUUCUCAGUCUGAAAUGACCUCUUGUUUCCCAUGAUUGUGAAAGCAUUGACAUCCAGGCAGACUCUAUACAAAGGAACAUAUGAGCACCUUGCAAAUUUCAGUUUCCUAAUACCUGAAGCCUCAUGAGGAGCAGACUUGACACUCUCCAGGGCUGUUGGCACAGGACACUUACACACUAGUGCACUCGGUAAACAGUGUCAGAGAAGGACGAGGUGCCUGCCUUUGAGAGGCUUCCACCUCCAGCUCUCAAGACAAGGGCUGCAGAUCUUGAUGAAGGUGGGAAGCUAACUUGUUUUGAGGUCUGUGACUCUCAACACUGAAUAGUUUACACAGAGAUUUCAUUUUAGUUUAUUGAGAUAUAACUUACCUGUCGUAAAAUGCAACCUUUUUAGGGUAUGUUAUAUGUUCUUUGACAAAUAUAUAUAGCCAUAUAACUAUCAACACAAUCCAUAAUUUUCUCCUGCCCUUUGGAGUCCAUCCUCCUUCACUACCAACCUCUGUUCACUCUGACCUAGUUAUGUUUGUUUGAUAGUGGCAGUGGUGGUGGUGAUUUGCUGUACUAGGGAUCAAAUCCAAGUCUUCCACAUGAUGAGUAAACAUUCUACCACAGAGCUACAUCUGCAGCUAUCUGACAUGUUUUCUAACUCUAGUGUUCUCCCUUUUCCAGUGAGUCAUAUACUGUGGAUCAUAUGUAUCCUGGUUUGAGUCUAGAUUCUAUCCCAAAGCCUUUUCAUCUGAAGGGUGCCCAUGUUAUUGUGUAUAACAAUAGUUACUUCCUUUUCUAUUUCUAUGUAGUAUUCUAUUGUGGAUCUACUCUUUAUUUGGUGAUCAGCUAUAGGAAAUUGGAUUGUAUUCAGAUCUGACUCACUAUUAAUAAUGCCACAAUAAAUAUUCACAUAACUUGGUGGUAUUCUGCUUUGUUGAGACAGGGUCUCAUAAAACUCAAUCUGGCCUGUAACUCAACUAUGUUGCUAAGGGUGAUAUUUAACAUCCCAUCUUCCCGCCUCCACCUCCUAAUGCUAUGAUUACAGGUAUUCACCAUCACACUCAGUGUAUGCUGGGAAAGGAACCCAGAGCUUCAUGAAUUAAAGACAUAGUCUCUAUAUCUGAAUUACACACCCACCCCUGCAAGCGAUAUGUGUGUGUGUGUGUGUGUGUGUGUGUGUGUGUGUGUGUGUGUGUGUGUGUACAUAUGUUGGUGUUUCUUUUAUCAAGAUGCCAAGAAAUGGGCUGAGCAGUCUUGCAGAUGAAAAUCAACUUGCCUUUUUGCGGUAGAAAGGAUUAGAUGCAAAGCUUUACUGGUGAGCUUCCCUCCCAGAUCUUUCUUUGAAACAAGGUCUACGUUGUCACAGCUAGCCUCAGAUACACAGUCCUCCUGCCUCAGUGUUCUCAGUAGCUGUGACUACGUGUGUUGGCUAAUUCAACUCUUAUUUUAAAAGGGGGUGAAGAGAGAAUGGGAUCACACACCUAAAUCAAUACUGGAGAGUCUGAGCAGGAGAAUUAGGUGUGAUUCUAUAAAUAAAAACACGGGGUAGAGUGGGGAGAAACUACUGACUCUUCCAUCAUACCUGAACUAUUUUUAAUUUCUAUAAUAUUGGUGAAAAUUCUGAAGGUCUGUAAUUAAGAUGUAACUAUCUACACUAUUUUAGACCAUCUCAGUAGAUCACAUCUACACUAUUUUAGACCAUCUCAGUAGAUCACAUGUUUGAGAGAGAUUAAAAGGCACUUAAAGAGUUAAGUUAGGCUGUGUUGCCUCAGCUGCAGGUACUUUGAGGGUAGUAAGAUGUGGAAUAGGGUGGUAGACACCAUCCCAACAGCUUAUGCUUUUUAUUUAUACACGGAAGUUAUUUUCUUCCUUAGAAAGGUUUAAAGAGAAUUGGACUGUUAGGUGAGACUGUGCCCUAAUAUUCAGGGAAGAUUGAAAAAGUCUUUCAGAUGAACUAGGAAAAUCUAUUGGGUCUCAUAAAGAUUUCCCAGGCCCUUUGGGGAAAUCACCAAAGGUGUGUCGUUGAUUGCCUCUGAAGAUGUCCUGUAUUGGAAACUUGAAGAUGGACAUUCUUUAGCAGGGUGAUACUUCCAACAUACAUUCACGUUCUCAAUCGCCCAGGCCUACACUCUUUGACUUCUUCAUCUGAAGUCUUUCAGCUUCUGAGCACCGGGGUGCUUUGCUUGUAAGACACCUUCUCUUCUGUGUUCCGUGUGCUAGCCUUAUGGUUUCUUCUAGUUUGCUUUCUUGGUUGCAGUGAUAAAACACAGAGUAAAACUCAUUCAGGGAGGAAAGGAUGUAUUUGGUUUAAAGCUCCUCAUCCCAAUCCGUCAUUGAGGGCAGGCGAGACAGGAACCUGUAGGCAAACACUGAUGCAGACACCGUGGAGGAGUGCUGCUCACUGCCUCGUUCCCUGUGGCUUGCUCAGCCUGCUUUCGUGUAUAGUCCAGAACCACCUGCUCAGGUGCGGCACUCCCACAGUGGGCUGAGCCUCCCACGUCUAUAACUAAUGUUAGGAAAAAAAAAGUGUCCCACAUACUUGGCUUCAGGCCAGUCUAAUAGAGGCAAUCCCUCAGUUGAGGUUCCCUCUUCCCAGGUGUGUCAAGUUGGCAACACUAACAAACUUCUACCAGCACAUAGUGAAAAGAGAGGGGUCUGGCCAUGUCUUCUGUACCUGAUCUAGGAACUUAGAUCUUAAUUCAAGAAGCAUGUGUCUGAGUGCUGCUAAGCUAUUGCUGUCGUCAGCAUCUGCUAUACUGAACAAAGAAAUCAGCUCAAAAAACUGUUUGAGUGGAAGGUUUCUUCUUCCUGUGGUUAGUUGUGGGUUGUGGUGACCUGAUCAAUCUAGUCAGAUGGCUGUCAAAAACAAGAAGAUAAAGGCUUGUGGGCCCUCCAUGUCCCUUGGUAACUUUCAGAGUUCUACAGUAACCAAAUCAGCACCCUGACUUGGAAAUCUGGAUAGUAACCCCAAAAGCAGUUAACUAAAACAUGGUGCUAAUACCAAAAUAAUGAAGGACCCUGACUGAGGAAAAUGUGAGACCUGAACUGCAGAAUUCUGGGACUUUUAUAGGUUUCUCAUAACUGUGGUUUAGCCAAAUAAAAGGGGGUGGAGACAACAGGAAAAUUAUUCUUUUCAGUGGGAUUUUGCCUUAGGGAAAUGCCCAUUCAAACACCUGCCCAUGAGCCACAGUGCCAUAUACACCACACCCUUCCCUGCCCACUCCCAGAGAUGCCAUGGGAGAGAGACCUCGCUCUCAGGCAUCACUGGUGGGUUCUUGUGCUGCAGGCUAAUUUAAGGCUCCUACUUUACAGUGUCACUUUGGACAGGGUGGUAGAGACCAAGAGGGGAGAUGAAGAGGACUGUUUUGUUUUCAGCUCCUGAUCUCACUACAGGAGAAUGUUUUAGGGCUGAACUGUCAGAAUGUGAGUGCUAAGGGAAGCUGGAAGAAGCAGUCACAGGUUUUGAUUGUACCAAAUGCCCAGAAAUUUUGGAAGUCUUCACCUGGUAUCAACUAAGCCUACCCAAUACUGUGCCCUUUUAUUAUCUAGUAAAUAAUUUUCUCCGACUGCUUCUGUUUGUAGACCUAGUGAAUUGUCCAACUUUUUAUUUUCCACAUGGCCUCAAAAAUACUCAGUUGACAGAGCCUAGAGGUCAGUUCAGAAAGGAACAAAAGAACGUAAAUGUCUUUGAGCAUUAUUGUGAGGCAUAGGGAAAGUUCACAAAGGAAUGCAUUUGCCAAGGGAAGAAUGCAGUGAUGAUGGAUACAGGAAGAGAAAGGCAUGGGUUAAAGAAGCUGAGGUACCACUUCAUUUUAAUAAACACAAGUUGAUAUGACUGUAGAAGACACCAAGGGGUGGCCAUAAUAUAAUAGGAAUUGACGCUUAAUUAUCACUGAUGAGCCUUAAGGAUUAUAAUUAAAAUAUCCAUACUGGUAGAACCAGUAAAAUGUUCCCUUCUUUGAAAAGUGUUACAAUGUAUGGUUUGCUGGCUGAGAGGAGGACUCACUGAACACUCCACACACCUCAUCCCCUUCUCAGCCGGAGGAGGGCUUAGAGAUGACGUUGGUGCCCUAGUUUACACAGCUAUUGGUCCGUUUUUGCACUUAGAUUUUCACUGCACUGGCAUUUAUCCUCUAAUGAGAAUCACGCCAUCAUCAGGAGGAAGAAGGCAACUAACUAUUGAUGAAUUUGGAUCGCAUGUAUACAAUUACAAUAAUAAAGAUUUGAUUUGGGGUGCUCUUCAGACUUUGGACUGUGAAUGGCGUGUGAUGAAGCAAUUUUCUACUUUUUAGGAUGCUGCACAUUCAUUUAGCUCGAUAAAGUCAUUGAGACUCAUAGACUGGUGCUAAGACUAUAGCAGAAUGUAAACAAACAGUUGUCAUGAUCUUAUUCUGCCAUUCAGAAAUCCAAUGCUUUUAAAAUUUUUAUCUCCAGUCCCAUCAAACUGGCAAAAGGUAAUUCUCGACAUACUGAGGGGGCCCGAUGAUCAACUGGCAGUGUGGUAUCCUUGUGAAAAGCAAAAAUGACCUGGCUGUCCUGUGAUUUUUAAGAUCAAGGUUUGAAACUUGUAAUUGUAAUAUUUAGGCCUAUAUACACUCACCCCAGAUUAUAGUCCUCGGAGUGCUGUGUACUGCAUGCUGAAUGAUCUGAGGAAGUGGUUACAUUAACAAGGCAGGGUUUGAUGUGUAUGCAGUGCUCGCUUUCCACGGAGAGAAGAGCUUUGAGUUGGGAUUAAAUAGUGAAUUGAUUUGACUUGGGGAAAGUCAGAAAAAUCUCUAGCUAAAACUGAGCAUAGUUUUUCAGAUUACCCUAUUUCUUAGUUUUCUUUCUGUUGUUGUGAUUU